rnacentral:rRNA from 1 species
UCUUCCUCAAUGGACGAAAGUCUGACGGAGCAACGCCGCGUGAGUGAUGAAGGUUUUCGGAUCGUAAAACUCUGUUGUUAGGGAAGAANAAGUACCGUUCGAAUAGGGCGGCACCUUGACGGUACCUAACCAGAAAGCCACGGCUAACUACGUGCCAGCAGCGGCGGUAAUACGCAGGUGGCAAGCGUUGUCCGGAAUUAUUGGGCGUAAAGCGCGCGCGGGCGGUGUCUUAAGUCUCAUGUGAAAGCCCCCGGCUCAACCGGGGAGGGUCGUUGGAAACUGGGGAACUUGAGUGCAGAAGAGGAGAGUGGAAUUCCAGGUGUAGCGGUGAAAUGCGUAGAGAUGUGGAGGAACACCAGUGGCGAAGGCGACUCUCUGGUCUGUAACUGACGCUGAGGCGCGAAAGCGUGGGGAGCGAACAG